GCCUGGGUGUCUCAGUCGGUUAAGUUUCUGACUUCAGUUCAGGUCAUGAGAUCACGGUCCGUGGGUUCAAGCCCUCUUCAGGCU
rnacentral:tRNA from 1 species